rnacentral:rRNA from 1 species
GAGUUUGAUUCUGGCUCAGGAUGAACGCUGGCGGCGUGCCUAACACAUGCAAGUCGAGCGCGGUUGUGCUUAGUAUUGAGUGUUUUAUUGAUAUAAAACAUUGAAUUCUAUGCACAACUGAGCGGCGGACGGGUGAGUAACGCGUGGGUAACCUGCCCUAUACACAUGGAUAACAUACUGAAAAGUUUACUAAUACAUGAUAAAAUAGUUUUUCGGCAUCGAAGAAUUAUCAAAGUGUUAGCGGUAUAGGAUGGACCCGCGUCUGAUUAGCUAGUUGGUGAGAUAACUGCCCACCAAGGCGACGAUCAGUAGCCGACCUGAGAGGGUGAUCGGCCACAUUGGAACUGAGACACGGUCCAAACUCCUACGGGAGGCAGCAGUGGGGAAUAUUGCACAAUGGGCGCAAGCCUGAUGCAGCAACGCCGCGUGAACGAUGAAGGUCUUCGGAUCGUAAAGUUCUGUUGCAGAGGAAGAUAAUGACGGU